rnacentral:rRNA from 1 species
UACGAGGGGGGCAGGCGUUGUUCGUAAUGACUGGGCGUAAAGGGUACGUAGACGGGAAGUUUACCCUUCUAGGCUUGAAAUACCGCCGUUAGGGUGGUUGGCUGGGAGAAUUUAGGGUAAUUUCCUUGAGUGGGUUUGGGUUGGUAGAAUUUCUUUUCAAGGGCUAAAAUCCGUUUGUAGAAGAGAAGGUAUUUCAUGAUAGUGAAGGCGACUGGCUACUGCUCACUGACGUUCAGGU